AAGCGUUCCCAGAAAUAUCGCGGUCUCUUGAGUUUAUAAACUGUGAUAUUGGUGCUUUCAAGCCAACAGGGAAGUCGGAAAAAACUAGGUCAAAUCAUGACGUCAGUGAUCUUCAAGUCGGAAAGUUGCAGCUCAAGAAAGAUGCUCCAGCUUCCGACUUUGAAUUCCGAGUUGAUUGACAGUCCAAACGUUUUUUUCCCAGAAGUCCCAGUUGUCAUGAACGGACUGAAUUCAGAUAUUUCCGAGUUUCCAAUUGUUUUGAACGCGGCAUAUGAUAUGAAAGAGCAGACGCAACAGGGCUCUGUAAACGUUGUAAAAGGAUCCUAGAUUAUAGCCUAGUACUUCCGUGUUUGUACAUUAGCUGUUCCCGAACCUGGACAAGUGGUAAAUUGUCAAAUUUGAAUUGUUACAAAUGUUGGCUAAAUGAAUGUUGAUUAGGCGAUUUGUGUUAACAGCUGGAGGCCUAAUAACUGUAAUAAUGUGCCAGCUUCCAUAGUUUUACAUUCAAUUUCCAUUGAAAUACAAAACACAGAUUUUCAAGUGCAACUCAAAUGUGUCUUGAAAAAACAAUCAUAUAUUUUAAUCAUUGAGUGUUGUCAAUAUUGUAUUGAUUUACUUAACCUGUCAAUGACGUUAGUCUCAUUGUGAUCAAAUCCCGUUUGCGAGACCUAAGAAAGGCCCAUUCUGUGCUAGUUACCGCUGUUUUUGGUCAUUUGAAGUACACCUACAUUUUACUCUUCAAACCUCAAUUUUGUUCUUCAAAAUGCUAGUGUUGAAUUGUUAUUUCUAUACCAAGGACAACCUAGAGAAGACUUAGGUUAUCUUUAAUGUCAUAACUAACAAUGACAAAAUGUCUGCAGCUGUAUUAAAGUAUCAAGCUUUCAGUGUGUAGUUUUCUUUGCAGGUGUUUGUUGAAGUCAACCACCCACACAAGGAUCAUCGACCAUGUCCACCUCUAUCACCACUGCAAAUGGAAUUGUGGUAGUGUCACAAGUUUUCCACUUGGCGGAGAAUGGCAAGGCUUCAGUGCCACUUCUGAAUGUCACUCCCCAGAUCCAGAGUGUGCCCCCUGCUGUGCCACUGCCUACCACUAAAGUGUCAGAGAUGACAAGGGUGUUCCUGCAGCUUCAGCCACAAUCUCUUGGGGAUUGUUCAGAUCGUCCUUGGAUUGGUGUGCAUGGUGGUGAACCUGUCUGCUCUUCUCACCCCUAUCCUGUAUGACCAGUUCCCACUCUUCAUGGGAGUUGCUGUAAGUUCUUGGUCCCAAGGAGGCAAGUAAUAUCCAACACAGAGAUGUUUCCUCAGAGUGAAUCUGCUGUCAUCUAUCUUACAGUAGUACUAUUGUAACCUAGAAAAGUAGGUGAACAAGAAGGAUAACUGACUUCAGAUCAGCACUCAUGACCAAAGGGCAUCCCACACCCACAGGAGACGGCAGAACUUGUGUUUAUCUAUAAAGUGUAGACCUCUACAGUAGGUGACAUUGGAUGUGGCAGUUGAUUGGUCAGCAUCACCUUAGCUUCAUAUGCCAAUGGUCUAAAGUGUCUUUCUUUCCUGUUGCUCACACUCUCCAGUUUGUCCUCUCUGGAUCUCUCACUGAAGGCUGCCCGGAAAGGAACACGUUUGAGUCUGAUUAAAGGGACUCUGGCUGUGAAUGUUGUCAGUGUUCUUGUGGCUCUGGCUGGGGUUGCCUAUAUUUGUAUGCUUCUGACUGUGAAACAUGAAGAUGGUUUCUGCACCGACACUGACAACAACUAUACUUCCAAUUCCAACCAGAACAGGAUAAAGGAAUGCACAAUUAUGGUUAGGACACUAUAUACAGUCUUGAAUGAAGGGCCUUCUACUGGUCCUGACGGUGAUGGAGCUCUGUGUGGCUCUCACUGUCUGCGUCUUCUCUGGGAAAUCCAUUCACCUCCGUGGGUACUACAGCCUGAGCUGUGGCCGGGGAAUGGUGGUGGUAGAGUCUGGUACUGACCCCACCGGAGCCAGCCAGGCCUCCCUGAGCGACAGUGACGUGGCCUUACUGAGCAGUGUUGAAGACUCUGACACCCCGGCUCCACCGUACUCUCCUUGAGGCAGAACAAUACCAUACACCUCACCCUAGGAAGUGUGAUGCCAUUGCGAAUGUUUCCGAUGUUUUGUUAUCAAUGUGAACAGUCAUGUGUCCUGGUGAUGGUUCUGUCCUGAUGAAUGUAGUGCUUACUAAUUCAUGAAGUAGGACUCUUUGCUAUUUCAUAUUACUGGAGAGUUGCUCUUGAUUUCUGACUAUCAUUCUUACAUUCAAUAAAUGUAAUAU